GGAAAAGGAUGAAAGCGAAUUUUCAGGAGCUGUGUAGUGAGGAUAAGAUACUGGUGUUCUUCAAGAGGUUGCUGAAUGAGUGGCAUCAGGAGCUUGAGGAGAUGCCGGAGGCGGAGAAGAGGACGGCGAAGGGGAAGUCGCUUGUUGCGACUUAUAAGCAGUGUGCGCGGUACUUGACUCCACUGUUCAAGUUCUGCAGGAAGAAGGUACUUGGCGAUGAUAUCCGCAGAGGCUUGCUUGUGGUGGUUGACUGCUGCAUGAAGCGAGACUAC
rnacentral:misc_RNA from 1 species